ACGCAGUCUUCAGAGAUAUCCACGUGAACGCUGUGAUACGUCUGACCUUCAGUCUGAAGAAGAAACCCAGACCAGUCUUAAAAGAAAGCACAAACCAAAUCCCCUGUACACAUAUACGGACUCAGAGGAUGAGUUUUUUUGUGGGGAAAGCCUACAAAAAAACGGUUUCCCCAGGCCCCUCGAGUGAAAAUACCAGCCCUCAUCACUCCGCAGUCUGCCCCCCAGCCCACUGAUAGCAACCAUCAUAAUGCCCCACCCAGCUUCCGGCACCUUUCGCCACUCCGGCACAAACCGACACAGCUUUGCGAUCUCGCCAGCAUGCAGAGUUUGAUGUCUUCCCUAUAGAUGAUUCCAGAGACUCUGUGAGGCCACUAUUACAAGGUGAGACGCUUUGCGUUGAUUGGUGCUGCUGGACCACACUGGAGGUGCGAGUCCGCUGUGUAAUGGUUUAUGCCAUUACAAAGGAGCUGGCGUCUGUACUCAACUGGGCAGGGAAAAAAACCAAGGACCAGACAAAGCAAAAAAGGGCAUUUAAAGAGACAGCGCUGUGCAGAUGCAUAUUUGAUGGCCUGGCGCAGCAGGUAGGGGCGAACUCUAUGUCUGAGUUGGUCUUUGCUCAAGCAGUCCAGAAAUGGCUCAGAUAUGCUCCAGAUCGUACGGGUGGCGCGCAGGACACACAUCAUCCAUCCCCAUCCCGGAGUAAAUAAUAAAAAGUGACGUGAAACAUAGAAAUGUAAAUAGGAAACUUUGUCUUUUAAUAAAGUAUUUUGCAAAUGA